rnacentral:rRNA from 1 species
UACAGAGGUGGCAAGCGUUUGUUCGGAAUUACUGGGCGUAAAGGGCGCGUAGGCGGUUCGUUAAGUCCUGUGUGAAAUCCCCCGGCUCAACUGGGGGAACUGCACAGGAAACUAGCGGGCUUGAGUUCGGGAGAGGGAAGCGGAAUUCCGAGUGUAGAGGUGAAAUUCGUAGAUAUUCGGAAGAACACCAGUGGCGAAGGCGACUUACUGGACACAUAUUGACGCUGAGGUGCGAAAGCGUGGGGAGCAAACAGG